rnacentral:misc_RNA from 1 species
GAUGAAGAACGUAGCGAAAUGCGAUACGUAAUGUGAAUUGCAGAAUUCAGUGAAUCAUCGAAUCUUUGAACGCAUAUUGCGCUGUCUGGUAGUCCGGAGAGCAUGCUUGUUUGAGUAUCAGUAAACACCUCAACUCCCCUUUCUUUUUUUGAAAUGGGAGCUGGACUUGAGUGAUCCCAACGCUUUUCUCACCGAAAAGUGGCGGGUUACUUGAAAUGCAGGUGCAGCUGGACUUUUCUCUGAGCUAAAAGCAUAUCUAUUUAGUCUGCCUAAAAAACAGAUUAUUACCUUUGCUGCAGCUAACAUAAAGGAGAUUAGUUCUUGUGCCGACUGAUGCAGGAUUCACAGAGACAGCUUCGGCUGGCCUUUGUAAACUCGAUCUCAAAUCAAGUAAGACUACCCGCUGAACUUAAGCAUAUCAAUAAGCGGAGGA